GACGAACGCUGGCGGCGUGCUUAACACAUGCAAGUCGAACGAAGAGCGAUGGAAGCUUGCUUCUAUCAAUCUUAGUGGCGAACGGGUGAGUAACGCGUAAUCAACCUGCCCUUCAGAGGGGGACAACAGUUGGAAACGACUGCUAAUACCGCAUACGAUCUAAUCUCGGCAUCGAGGAUAGAUGAAAGGUGGCCUCUACAUGUAAGCUAUCACUGAAGGAGGGGAUUGCGUCUGAUUAGCUAGUUGGAGGGGGAACGGCCCACCAAGGCGAUGAUCAGUAGCCGGUCUGAGAGGAUGAACGGCCACAUUGGGACUGAGACACGGCCCAGACUCCUACGGGAGGCAGCAGUGGGGAAUCUUCCGCAAUGGACGAAAGUCUGACGGGGCAACGCCGCGUGAGUGAUGACGGCCUUCGGGUUGUAAAGCUCUGUUAAUCGGGACGAAAGGCCUUCUUGCGAAUAGUGAGAAGGAUUGACGGUACCGGAAUAGAAAGCCACGGCUAACUACGUG
rnacentral:rRNA from 1 species